UAUUCUUGGGCCUUCCUAUAUUUCUUAACCUGAUGUGGGACAGACAGAAGAACAUCUGCAGUUUGUGAUGGCAACCGAAGGUUACACCAUUCCAGUGCAUGUGCUGCGCAUCAAAUGGCCCACACACAAGUCAAGAAACCAAUAACAUUUACUAAAGCUGCACUAUGGAACAAAAAGCGUCCUGUGUCGUUGGUAAGAUGUUACCACAGUGCCAUCUACAGGCGAGCUGAAAAGAGUAACACACUCAGCUGAGGAUUUGGCUGGCUAGCUCUUCUGAAGAGCCUUGUAGGUGACAUGAGAAGCUCACUGCCCGAGGCCCAGCUCUGCAAUCCUUUCUCAUACCCAGUUGCCUCCUGGAUUCCAUUGACACCACCUGCAUGACAAGCUGUGCGAGAUGUAGAGGGCCAAACACCAGCCUACAGCCUCCUGUUUUAUCCUCUACAAAAAGAGACUCUGCUGGGGAUGUAAAACGGAGUUCUGAAUGUUUCAGUGCUGGAAGGGGCAAAUGCUCACCAGAGAACUCCACGGCGGGACUCUUCACUUCUGCUUUAUUAGGAAUACAGGGAAACAAAAGGACUCGAAGCAGGUAAGUUUCAAUAACACGACAGUGCCCCGAAAGGUGUUAUAAGCCUGGUUUCCAGAGACAUUGAGUACCUGCAGCUCCCCCUGACUUCGGUAGGAAUUGUGGGUGUUCAGCACCUCUGAAAAUCAGGCCCCACAAUUGAGCUGAAUCCAACCUACUUCUGCCUUCCUGAAACCCAGCUCCAUGUCUUUUCCUCUGCCUGCCCGAGGUGGAGCUGUUUCCCCUGCCUCAACAACAGCAGGACAAUAUUGGAGAAUAUUUAUGUCUGUAGAUGUGAUCCAAGAGUCAUGACACCUAAUCUUUGGUUGUGUGAAAAGGAUCUUCUUUCCUUUGUCCCUAUCCACCAGGGGGAGGGAAUGAAGGAUACAGUGACCUUAAUUGCAUUCUCCUGAGAGCCAUCUGCAGGCCUUGCAAAGAGCUAGUCACCCCUCAGCUAAU